rnacentral:pre_miRNA from 1 species
UUUGGUGAGAUCCAUGUGGGUUUCACACUUUGGAAAUGGAUCCCACAUAAAAUGGUGAGACCCGCAUGGGUUUCACCCAA